UACGAGGGGGGCGAGCGUUGUUCGGAAUUAUUGGGCGUAAAGGGUGCGUAGGCGGUUUGGUAAGUCUUAUGUGAAAUCUACAGGCUCAACUUGUAGUCUGCAUGAGAAACUGCCGGGCUUGAGUAUGGGAGAGGUGAGUGGAAUUCCGGGUGUAGCGGUGGAAUGCGUAGAGAUCCGGAAGAACACCGGUGGCGAAGGCGGCCUGCUGGGCAGUGGCUGACACUGAGGCGCGACAGCGUGGGGAGCAAACAGG
rnacentral:rRNA from 1 species